UACGUAGGUGGCGAGCGUUGUUCGGAAUGACUGGGCGUAAAGGGUGCGUAGGCGGUGUAGCAAGUUAGAAGUGAAAUACCUAGAGCUUAACUCAGGUGCUGCUUCUAAAACUGCUAUACUUGAGUGCAGUAGAGGAAAGUGGAAUUCCUAGUGUAGCGGUGGAAUGCGUAGAUAUUAGGAGGAACAUCAGUGGCGAAGGCGACUUUCUGGACUGUAACUGACGCUGAGGCACGAAAGUGUGGGGAGCAAACAGG
rnacentral:rRNA from 1 species